UCGAACGGAAAGGCCCUUUCGGGGUACUCGAGUGGCGGAACGGGGUGAGUAACACGUGGGUGAUCUGCCUCGUACUCUGGGAUAAGCCCUGGGAAACUGGGUCUAAUACUGGAUAGGACCACUGGUCGCAUGGUUGGUGGUGGAAAGUUUUUUGGUACGAGAUGGGCCCGCGGCCCUAUCAGCUUGUUGGUGGGGUAAUGGCCUACCAAGGCGACGACGGGUAGCCGGCCUGAGAGGGCGACCGGCCACACUGGGACUGAGACACGGCCCAGACUCCUACGGGAGGCAGCAGUGGGGAAUAUUGCACAAUGGGCGCAAGCCUGAUGCAGCGACGCCGCGUGAGGGAUGACGGCCUUCGGGUUGUAAACCUCUUUCACCAGGGGCGAACUGAGGACGGUACCUGGAGAAGAAGCACCGGCCAACUACGUGCCAGCAGCCGCGGUAAUACGUAGGGUGCGAGCGUUGUCCGGAAUUACUGGGCGUAAAGAGCUCGUAGGCGGUUUGUCGCGUCGUUCGUGAAAACCCGAUGCUUAACAUCGGGCGUGCGGGCGAUACGGGCAGACUUGAGUACUACAGGGGAGACUGGAAUUCCUGGUGUAGCGGUGAAAUGCGCAGAUAUCAGGAGGAACACCGGUGGCGAAGGCGGGUCUCUGGGUAGUAACUGACGCUGAGGAGCGAAAGCGUGGGUAGCGAACAGGAUUAGAUACCCUGGUAGUCCACGCCGUAAACGGUGGGUACUAGGUGUGGGUUCCUUUCACGGGAUCCGUGCCGUAGCUAACGCA
rnacentral:rRNA from 1 species